UGAGCUGGCAGCCGCGGGACACGGGCACACAACAGGAGAACAUGUUCGUCAGGCGAAGGUGUCCCAACGAAUGAGCCCAGUCGGGCGCUGUCUCCAGAACGGCCGGGUGGGUCGUGCGGAGGCCAGGUGUGGCCAGGGACCCGCACUCAGCACCUGUAGAUGAUCCAGACGGUCCGGUGAUGUGCAUGAAUCCAACCGCUCCCCACCUGGCUGGUCACCCAUAUUCCCACCUCUGCCAACUGCUCUGGGAACCAAACCUCUCCUGAGCCUCAGAACCACGCCCGCCCCUGCCAGGCAGGCCUCAGGGUGCGAGGCAAGGUGGGUUGGACAUCUGGGGAAAUGAUGGCCAGUGACUACACCCACCCCACCCAGCUGGCCUGGACCGCAGACUCCACCCAGGGUCCAGGUGCAUGGACCCUGGGGCAUGGCUGGGCCAGGGCUCCUGGAGGCAGCAGUGGAGGCCAACGCAGGGCAGGGAGAAGUCGGUCCUCCCCUUGCCCUUCUCCUUUCCUCCUUCCGCCUUGUCUUCCUGGCAGGACGUUGGACAGAGGUCCAGCCUGUGCCUGGCUGCAGCCCUGUGAGCAGUCAGAGGGUGGCAAGCUGCCCGGGGAGGCCGGGGGCCACAUCCAGGAUGACCAAGUGUCAGGGGGCUACUGUAGCUGGGCAUCCCCCGGGCACUCAGUGAUUUCAGCCCUUUGUAUACAUGAGCCGUGACCCCGGGACCGGGUAUCGGCCCAUUCCUCACCCCAAGAGGCACGUAUCCUCCCCAGCCGAGGCCCCGUCGGUGGCCGGCCCUCCCUCCAGCCCCAAGAGGUCCAGCUGCUCCACAGGCCAUACAUCUUUCCCGGCUGGAGCCCGAGCAGCCAUCAGGGGCCUGGAUCCGGGCCCUGGAGCCCCUCAGGGAGGACAGCCGGCGGGCGACACCGCAUCACUGGUACCGGCCUGGACGUGACGAUCAGGAGGUUGGACGAGAGCAUCCGCCGAGCUGGCAGGGGGCGCGUCCUUGGUCCCCUCACCGAGAUCUCUCCGGGUACAGACCUCACUUGAACAACUCCUCUGACAGGAGACCAUCUCUGGACCUGCCAAGGAAUCCAGCCCCGGGGGGAGGCGACGACCUGCUCUGCUCUACAGAGGAGGAGACUGAGGCAACAUCAUCCUCCCAGGCCGGUGCCUGGGAAUCCAUGCUUGCCUGGGGGCAAAUACCAAGCCCGCGAGCUCCCUCCACAUCUAGGAUGCCGUGGCUCUGACGACACUGCCUGGUCACGUCCCCUGCGCCUGGCAAGCUGCGGUGACCCCCGACUCCUUACCUGACGUCCGAGCCCCGAGUGAACUGGGCCAGAUGCCCUCCCCAGGGUGUACCCCUCGCCCCUCCCUAGUGUUUUCCUCCCCCAGGGAGCCCACCAUCCCUGCCCCUCGAGCCCCCUGCUACCACUGCCCCGCUCCAUGGCUCCCAUCCAGAGCACCCUCAUCUCUAAGGCUGGCUUCAGAGGUCACCUCCUCGGGGUCCUGCGAAAGCCCAGGCUUCGGGUCAGAGCGACCCAGGCUCACACCCACAGCGGGGCCACGUCAGAGUCCUGUGACACGCAAGCUCUAUGCCAGCUUCUGGGACCUCGGUGCUCUUUUUGCAGAUGGGGUCGGCGGCUCCCACCGCCGGUGGGUGUGUGGGGGAUGAAAGCAGGGAGGUGAAG